UCACUGUGCUCUGGCCUGCAGCCCACAUCCUGGCAGACCAGGGCAGCUGGUGAGGUUGACCGUCAGCCUUGUCAAAGGACCAUGUCAAGAGCACACAGUGCCAUGCUGGCCGGGGGACCUGCAUUCACCACCAAGCCCAGCUGGGAUGCAGGUUUUUAAGUGUCGCUAACCAAGGCUUCGACCAGACAUCAUGACCAGAAGCAGAUCAGGGGAGAAAUGUUUACUGGGAUUACAAUUCAGUCUGAGCAACUGAGACUGUCCCGAGGAGACCUGGGACAGGUCAGGAGAGUGUUCUGAGAACCCCUGAGAGCUGUCUUCGAAGCGGCCGAGCUGGGCAGGUGAGGCCUGCAGGCAAGAGGAAGCCGGGUAGAUUUGAGAUAAUGAAAUCUGGACUCCACUGGGAGAUCCCAGGCAGGCCCUGCCACCUGAUCCUACCACACUGCCCCUCUGUCCAAGACCCUAAAGCGAAGGGCACCAGCCAUGGACUGGAGCCUCUAUAAAUACAGGAGGGGAUUAGACAGUUUGAGUGACCACGCCAGCAAACAAUCACAGUACACCGUUCUAACGGCACAGAUAAAACAAUUCACAUCACUGAUACAGGUUCCCCUCUCUCAGGUGACUGGAGCUCGCGUUAAGUCAAUGUACAACUGGCCAACGUAGUCUGAAAUCAUUUUGAAAAACAGAACAAAAUUCGCCCACAGCCCACUUCACUUCUCGCCAUAGUUACAGAUCGCCGCUUACUGAGUUGGUCUCCUGAAUCCCAGAAGCCGCCACGGAUACCUCACUUUCUCCUUUGGCGGCCCCACUAGCGAGUCUUGUGAGCUUCAUUUUCUCUGUUUUCUGUCGCUGCAACGGCACGCCAGAGUCUGGUUAUUCUACAGCUCUGAAGGCUGGGAAGCUCAUGGCUGGCUCGCCCCAUCUUCUGAGGUUCUCAUUGCUGCAUUCUAGAUGGCAUAGGGGAUCACAUGGCAAAACGGGGCAUCCUACAGUGCACCAAACUGGCUUUCAAACGGACCUGUUGUGAGGGGAACUCAUUGUUAUGAUCUAGAUGCUCUGCCUUGUCACAGGCUGGAAGGCAACGGUGUCUCAGAGACCAUGAACCCAGAGAGAUGGAAGGAAGCUGACGGACACUUGAGCCCAUGGAUGGGCUAAUCUAUUCAUGAGGACCAAGCUAUCAUGACCCAGCUCUGCGUGCUCCCUCAGAACACUUUAUGGAGGAGUUUUAGUGGGGACAUUGGGUCCACAGCAGCCAUGUUCUCCUGGAAUGCAUUACCAACCAGGCUGCUUCCCACCACUCCUCCGUGGUACACACAUCGAGCCGUCAUUUCUAGACGUAGAACUCUGGAGACUAACCUCUGACUGUGAGCAACAAGAGGAUUACGAGGCAGACUGAGAGCUAGGAGUCCACGUCAGUGUGCUGUGCUGUUUGGGAUGCUUUUCCUGUCGCUAGGCCUGGGUAUCAGUCAAGGGACCAGCAGCUGAACUUGAUGGUCUGAAGCACAUUUUCUCUAACUAUUCCCUGGCAUCCAGUUUGAUACAGGACAAACACACCCCUCCUCCUAGGAAAGCUGACUCAGGGACAUCUGAACCAUUCUCUCCCGUCCAUCCCUUCACUUAAACAUAGUUACUGGGCACCCACAAUGUGUCAGAUUAAAAACCUAUCCUCUCAGGAGCUUCCACUCUAUCAGAAAG
ensembl:lncRNA LOC102555129 uncharacterized LOC102555129